rnacentral:lncRNA from 1 species
UCUUAAUUUCAAAGACCCUGAAGCAGUCAGAGCUCUGACUUGUACUCUCCUGAGAGAGGACUUUGGACUUUCUAUUGAUAUUCCUUUGGAGAGACUAAUUCCCACAGUCCCCUUGAGACUUAACUAUAUUCACUGGGUAGAAGAUCUGAUUGGUCACCAGGAUUCUGACAAAACUACUCUCCGAAGAGGAAUUGACAUAGGUACUGGGGCGUCCUGCAUCUAUCCCUUACUUGGAGCAACCUUAAAUGGCUGGUAUUUCCUGGCCACAGAAGUGGACGACAUGUGCUUCAAUUAUGCCAAGAAAAAUGUAGAGCAGAAUAACCUGUCUGAUCUCAUCAAAGGUUGGCUCCUCUACAUAAAUAGCCCAUUAAGCUGUGUUUGUUAAAGGUUCUUUACUAUAACGUGCACUAUUAUUAUCUUCUGUGGGGUUUUGUUUAUUUGAGACAAGAGUCUCUGCAGCUCUGGCUGCUCUGGAACUCACUUUCUAGGCCAGGCUGACAAUGAACUCAUAGUGAUCCGCUGCCUCUGGUCCUGGAUGCUGGAAUUACAGACGAGUGCCACCACACCUGGCUUGUUAUCUUUUGCCGAAGUGUGUAUACUUCAAACUUUAAAUAAUCUAAUGUAAUGAUUUUGAUUCCAAAAUCAAAGGAAGGAAUAUAGUAAAGUUGAUCCUUAUUAUUUCUCUAUCA